rnacentral:rRNA from 1 species
GGUGGCGGUUAUACUGGAGUUGUCCCACCCGAUCCCAUAUCGAACUCGGAAGUGAAAUACUCCAAGGCCGAUGAUAGUAGAUUUUCUGCGAAAGUAGGUAGCCGCCACCA